GCAUAUCAAUAAGCGGAGGAAAAGAAACCAACAGGGAUUGCCCUAGUAACGGCGAGUGAAGCGGCAACAGCUCAAAUUUGAAAUCUGGCUCCUUUGGAGCCCGAGUUGUAAUUUGUAGAGGGCGCUUUGGUGUUGGCAGCGGUCCAAGUUCUUUGGAACAGGACGUCACAGAGGGUGAGAAUCCCGUACGUGGUCGCUAGCCUUCGCUAUGUAAAGCCCCUUCAACGAGUCGAGUUGUUUGGGAAUGCAGCUCUAAAUGGGAGGUAAAUUUCUUCUAAAGCUAAAUACUGGCCAGAGACCGAUAGCGCACAAGUAGAGUGAUCGAAAGAUGAAAAGCACUUUGGAAAGAGAGUCAAAUAGCACGUGAAAUUGUUGAAAGGGAAGCGCUUGCAGCCAGACUUGCCUGUAGUUGCUUAUCUAGGCUUUUGUCUAGUGCACUCUUCUGUGGGCAGGCCAGCAUCAGUUUAGGCGGUUGGAUAAAGGUCUCUGUCAUGUACCUCUCUUUGGAGAGGCCUUAUAGGGGAGACGUCAUGCAACCAGCCUAGACUGAGGUCCGCGCAUCUGCUAGGAUGCUGGCGUAAUGGCUGUAAGCGGCCCGUCUUGAAACACGGACCAAGGAGUCUAACAUCUAUGCGAGUGUUUGGGUGUCAAGCCCAAACGCGUAAUGAAAGUGAACGGAGGUGGGAACCCUUUGGGUGCACCAUCGACCGAUCCUGAUGUCUUCGGAUGGAUUUGAGUAAGAGCAUGGCUGUUGGGACCCGAAAGAUGGUGAACUAUGCUUGAAUAGGGUGAAGCCAGAGGAAACUCUGGUGGAGGCUCGCAGCGGUUCUGACGUGCAAAUCGAUCGUCAAAUUUGGGCAUAGGGGCGAAAGACUAAUCGAACUAUCUAGUAGCUGGU
rnacentral:rRNA from 1 species